rnacentral:rRNA from 1 species
UGAGGAAUAUUGGGCAAUGCCCGCAAGGGUGACCCAGCAACGCCGCGUGGAGGAUGAAUGUCGUAAGAUUGUAAACUCCCGUUAGAGGGGAAGAAUAGUACCGGUUGGACCGGUAUAUGACUGUACCCUCAGAGAAAGCCUCGGCUAACUACGUGCCAGCAGCCGCGGUAAAACGUAGGAGGCGAGCGUUAUCCGGAUUUACUGGGCGUAAAGCGCGUGCAGGCGGAUUGGAGAGUUGGAUGUGAAAGCUCCCGGCUUAACUGGGAGAGGUCGUUCAAGACGUCCAGUCUUGAGUGCAGUAGAGGGAAGUGGAAUUCCGGGUGUAGUGGUGAAAUGCGUAGAUAUCCGGAGGAACACCAGUGGCGAAAGCGGCUUCCUGGACUGUAACUGACGCUCAGACGCGAAAGCUAG